UACGUAGGGACCGAGCGUUGUCCGGAUUCAUUGGGCGUAAAGAGCUCGUAGGCGGCCACUCAAGUCGAAUGUGAAACCUCGAGGCUUAACCUCGAGCCUGCAUUCGAUACUGGGCGGCUAGAGUCUGGUAGGGGGAUCUGGAAUUCCUGGUGUAGCGGUGGAAUGCGCAGAGUAUCAGGAGGAACACCAAUAGCGAAGGCAGCUCGCUGGGACGGUACUGACGCUAAGGCGCGAAAGCGUGGGGAGCGAACAGGA
rnacentral:rRNA from 1 species